UCUUUGUAUAAGAUGUUCUAUU
rnacentral:miRNA from 12 species